rnacentral:rRNA from 1 species
UCGCGUGUCUCAGUAGUUUGACUCCGUGGCUCAGGACGAACGCUGGCGGCGUGCUUAACACAUGCAAGUCGAACGAUGAAGCCGGGGCUUUUUGUUUUGGUGGAUUAGUGGCGAACGGGUGAGUAAUACGUGAGUAACCUGCCCUUGUCUUUGGGAUAAGCCUGGGAAACUGGGUCUAAUACCGGAUAUUCUGCUUUUGCCGCAUGGUGGGGGUUGGAAAGAUUUUUUGGAUGGGGAUGGGCUCACGGCCUAUCAGCUUGUUGGUGGGGUGAUGGCCUACCAAGGCGUCGACGGGUAGCCGGCCUGAGAGGGUGACCGGCCACAUUGGGACUGAGAUACGGCCCAG